ACCCGGGAAUUACGAGCCCAAGCUUAAAACCCAAAGGACUUGACGGUGUCCCAUCCCCCUAGAGGAGCCUGUUCUAUAAUCGAUUCUCCCCGAUUUACCUCACCGCCUCUUGACUCCAGUCUGUAUACCUCCGUCGCAAGCUUACCGUGUGAACGCACCAAGUAGGCUAAAAGAUCUAUUAUCCACACGUCAGGUCAAGGUGCAGCCCACGAAGCGGAAAGAAAUGGGCUACAAUUUCUACUUUAGAACAAACGGAAAACUGUAUGAAACACAGUUGCUGAAGGCGGAUUUAGUAGUAAAAAGAAAAUAGAGCGUUCUUUUUAACCAGACCCUGGGACGCGUACACACCGCCCGUCACCCUCUUCAGAUAAAUAAAAAAAGUUAUUAACACCACUUACUACACAGAAGAGGCAAGUCGUAACAUGGUAAGCGUACUGGAAAGUGCACUUGGAACAAAAUGUAGCUUAACAAAAGCAUCUUGCUUACACCAAGAACAUGCCUGUGAAAUCCUGGCCAUUUUGAGCCUAACUUACAGCCCACCUGUAUAAUAAUUUUCUUUUUUUCCACAGUAAAUUAACUAAAACAUUUUACUAGUUUAGUAAAGGCGAUUAAAAAACUUUCAGGAG
rnacentral:rRNA from 1 species